rnacentral:pre_miRNA from 1 species
AAGGCCAAUGGCUUGCGAGGGUAGGAAAAGCUCAGUGUGAUGAUAUAUUUCUCGCUCACUGAUCUGCAGUUUUUCCCACUCCUCCCAAGCCCAUGGCC